GAACGCUGGCGGCAUGCUUUACACAUGCAAGUCGAACGGCAGCGGGGGCUUCGGCCUGCCGGCGAGUGGCGAACGGGUGAGUAAUGCAUCGGAACGUGCCCAGUCAUGGGGGAUAACUACGCGAAAGCGUAGCUAAUACCGCAUACGCCCUGAGGGGGAAAGCGGGGGAUCGCAGGACCUCGCGUGAUUGGAGCGGCCGAUGUCGGAUUAGCUAGUUGGUGGGGUAAAGGCCUACCAAGGCGACGAUCCGUAGCGGGUCUGAGAGGAUGAUCCGCCACACUGGGACUGAGACACGGCCCAGACUCCUACGGGAGGCAGCAGUGGGGAAUUUUGGACAAUGGGGGCAACCCUGAUCCAGCCAUGCCGCGUGAGUGAAGAAGGCCUUCGGGUUGUAAAGCUCUUUCAGACGGAAAGAAAUCGGGCGGGUGAAUAGCCUGCCUGGAUGACGGUACUGUCAGAAGAAGCACCGGCUAACUACGUGCCGGCAGCCGCGGUAAUACGUAGGGUGCGAGCGUUAAUCGGUAUUACUGGGCGUAAAGCGUGCGCAGGCGGUUGUGUAAGACAGGUGUGAAAUCCCCGGGCUUAACCUGGGAACU
rnacentral:rRNA from 1 species